AGAGUUUGAUCAUGGCUCAGGAUGAACGCUAGCGGCAGGCCUAAUACAUGCAAGUCGAGGGGCAACAGGUGUAGCAAUACAUGCUGGCGACCGGCGCACGGGUGCGUAACACGUAUGUAACCUACCUAUAACUUGGGGAUAGCCCGGAGAAAUCCGGAUUAAUAUCCAAUAACACUGCGAGAUGGCAUCAUCUUGUUGUUAAAGAUUUAUCGGUUAUAGAAGGACAUGCGGCUGAUUAGCUAGUUGGUGAGGUAAUGGCUCACCAAGGCCACGAUCAGUAGGGGACCUGAGAGGGUGAUCCCCCACACUGGUACUGAGAUACGGACCAGACUCCUACGGGAGGCAGCAGUAGGGAAUAUUGGGCAAUGGACGCAAGUCUGACCCAGCCAUGCCGCGUGAAGGAAGAAGGCUUUCUGAGUUGUAAACUUCUUUUUGAUCGGGAACAAAGAGCUCUUGCGAGAGCAGUUGAGUGUACCGAUAGAAUAAGCACCGGCUAACUCCGUGCCAGCAGCCGCGGUAAUACGGAGGGUGCAAGCGUUGUCCGGAUUUAUUGGGUUUAAAGGGUGCGUAGGCGGUCUUUUAAGUCAGUGGUGAAAGCCUCCAGCUCAACUGGAGAAAUGCCAUUGAUACUGGAAGACUUGAGUAUAGUUGAGGUAGGCGGAAUUGACGGUGUAGCGGUGAAAUGCAUAGAUAUCGUCAAGAACACCGAUUGCGAAGGCAGCUUACUAAACUAUAACUGACGCUGAGGCACGAAAGUGCGGGGAUCAAACAGGAUUAGAUACCCUAGUAGUCC
rnacentral:rRNA from 1 species